CAGGUCGGUGCCGAGCUGGGUGAAGCCGGAGUUGAGGCAGCCACGGGCUAUGCGCCUCCAGAGGAGAUCGCGGCUACUGAGGAAGCGCAGGCGGCGGCAAACCUGGCCCAGGCGGCCCAAGGCCUGCGCGUCCAGGAGCCUGGAGUACUGACAACGCAGAAGGAUUCUGGUCCAAAAUGGCAAAGUAGCCCUCCACGGACAGUGGAGCAGGAAAAUGAGUCUGGUGUUGUGUUAUUCUUUCUUAUAGUACUUUGUACUCUACAGAAGCCUGAAAUGUUUGGGAAAUUUUCUCACUCAAAAUUGAAAACUAGAUAAAUAGUAAGAAGUUCAUCAUCAGCCUAGAAUGCUUUGAACAGGUAUCACUUACUCACUGCAUCUCCUUUUGCACAGUGAAGUAGGAAAAUAAAUUUCAGCAUAUAAUGAGGUUACCAUAGCAUACAGGCCUUUAGACAGUACUGGCAUCCUGUUCCAGAAGGUCAUCUUGUCUGUGUAAUUUCAAGCACUCAAAUAUUCAUAUGACUAAAUCACCAACUCUGGAAGCCUCUUAUUUGAGAGGUUCAGAACCGCUGGCUGAGGAACUGCCUGGUCCAUUUACACUGAGUUUCAAUACACCCUGGAAGUCAGGGAAGUUCCAGAAGGCAGCAAAUGUUUUAAUAGCAUUUAUGAGUGAAUCAGAUGGCCCAAGUAAUUAAAAAUUUCUCAACCUAAGUUUUAGCUCAGGUGAAAUAACAGCACAUCUGGUACAGGGCUUAUAUAGCAAACUGAAAGGGAGGUAAUAUAACAAUUUUUGCUUAACAUGAGAUCAUGGAAGCUUGGUGUGAAUGCAGUUUUAUAUCAACUCACUAUCUUUUUGAUGACAUAAAACUUAGCUCUUUUGUAAUAGACUUCAGCAAUGUCUGAAACAUUAAAUUUAUUAAAAGCUGAAUGACUCCUCAGUCUUAAAUUGUUACUGUGAAGACAGAUUUAUUAUCAAGUUGCUCUUUCUCUAGUAGGAUCCUACAGAGACAGCUUAUGGAACAUACACUAUUUAAUUUUACUAGCAACCUGAAAACUUCUGAAAUCAUUAUUAGCAAAGCUUUGUAGAAGGUGCAAAGCAUGGGGCAAGCAAGAGGCAAAGGGUGAUUAUGGCUGCAUAACCUUACGUUAAGUUUAUGCAUAAUCAGAUUGUAAGUAUUUCAAUCAAGCCAAAUGUGAAGUCUUACAUCUAGGAACAAAGAAUGUAGGUCACACUGAAAGGAUGUAACUCUAUCCUGCAAAGCUGCAAUUCCGUAAAGACUUCAUUAAGAUGAAUAAUCAGCUGAACGUGAGCUCCUUCUGCAGUGCUGUGACCAAAGGGCUAGUGCUGUCCUGGGAAACAAACAAGAGCCGUGAGGUCCUUUUACCUCUGUUUUUCACUGUUGUGACUGCUUUGGAAAUAAUUUGUCCAGCCAAUAUUUCAAGAAGGAUGUUGAAAAACUAGAGGGGUUUCAAAGAAGAGUAGUAAGAAUGAUUACAGGACUGUCAAACAUGUUUUAUAGUGAGACCCAAAGUGCUCAGUCUAUUUGGCUUUCUAAAGAGAAGGUUAAGGUGUGAGGUGAUCAUACCUUAUGAGCACUGAAACAGGAAGAAAAAUCUGGUAAUGCCAGGAUCUUCUAUUUAGCAGACAAAGAGAUAAGAUCUCUUGACAGAAGGUGGUGGGAAACAAAUUAAUAAAUAAAGCAUGCUUUUGUAGUGAAGAAAAUUAACUGUUGAAGCAGUUUACCAAGAUUUAUGGUAGAUUCACCAUUACUGGACUUUUUAAAAAACAAUACCAGUUGGGUUUUUUUCUCCCUUAGAGAGAGAGCCAGGCUAGACCACAACUACUAAAACUUAACCCAGGAACUGACCUGGCAAGUCCUAACUCAGGAUAUCAGAGUAAGAUGUUCAAAGGGGUCUUUUCUGGUCUUAGGCUCUGUUACAUCUGCGUCGUGCAUGUCUCCCUGCACUGUGUGACACCCAUAUUCCAGUGUACAGUAGUCUCCAUUCUGUGGCCGUGCCACUUCACCAAAGAAACUACUCGGUGCAGUCCAGAAGGAGCCUGGGUGCAAAGUAACAUGUAGAGUGUGACCCUCUGGGAUACCAGGACCAAGGUAUGGACAAGUACAUCUGUAGAAGCAGGGCCUCAGUGCUCUCCAAUUUGUGACCCAAGGUAUAAACAACUAUGAAAUAUUUGGCUAAGAUAAAACGUGUUUGUAUGCAGUAAUCGUGGAGGGAGUCAAAUAUGCUCCAGACAGGGGACACAGUAAUAUGAAGAAAAAAUUAUGGUAUGUUGCUCUUAAAUGUAGCAUUGUUUUCUAGUAUGGAUAAUUGCCUUACAACAUAGUAGCAAUAAUUAUUCUUUGCCCAAAACAUAGAUAUCAUCUAUCUUUGUUUUUUUAAGAGAAAUGGACCUGCAGCUGCAUACACUUGUUCUCAGGCAUGAUUUCAGCCACUGUGACUGCCGUGGAGCUGUCAAAGCUGCACAUCACAGGCUGGGAACCCAAUGGCACUAGUCUUCCCAGCAAUGCCCAAGUAUGUGUCUGCAGGAGCAAGAGCCAAGGAAGAUUCUGAGCCAUUACUAAAACUGUAUGUGUAGCAUAAUUAUUUCCAUUACAUUGUUCAUACUCUAAUAAAGGACUUGGUGCACGUGCUCAUGUGCAGCA